rnacentral:rRNA from 1 species
AGAGGGCUCGAGCGUUAAUCGGAAUCACUGGGCUUAAAGGGUGCGCAGGCGGAUCAGUAAGUGUCUUGUGAAAUCCCACGGCUCAACCGUGGAAUGGCUUGGCAGACUGCUGAUCUUGAGCCCGGCAGGGGCCGUCGGAACGCUAGGUGGAGCGGUGAAAUGCGUAGAUAUCUAGCGGAACGCCAAAGGUGAAGACAGACGGCUGGGCCGGCGCUGACGCUCAGGCACGAAAGCGUGGGGAGCGAACGGGAUUAGAUACCCCGGUAGUCCACGCCCUAAACGAUGUGCACUAGGUCGAGGAGGUUUUGACGCCAUCUCGGCCGUAGUUAAAACAUUAAGUGCACCGCCUGGGAGUACGGUCGCAAGGCUA